rnacentral:rRNA from 1 species
AAUUCGAUUGUUUGAUCAUGGCUCAGGACGAACGCUGGCGGCGUGCUUAACACAUGCAAGUCGAACGGUGAUGGCCAGCUUGCUGGUCUGAUCAGUGGCGAACGGGUGAGUAACACGUGAGCAACCUGCCCUUCACUCUGGAAUAACCACGGGAAACGGUGGCUAAUACCGGAUAUGAGACGUACACGCAUGUGUCGCGUCUGGAAAGAUUUAUCGGUGAAGGAUGGGCUCGCGGCCUAUCAGCUUGUUGGUGGGGUAGUGGCCCACCAAGGCGACGACGGGUAGCCGGCCUGAGAGGGCGACCGGCCACACUGGGACUGAGAUACGGCCCAGACUCCUACGGGAGGCAGCAGUGGGGAAUAUUGCACAAUGGGCGCAAGCCUGAUGCAGCGACGCCGCGUGAGGGAUGACGGCCUUCGGGUUGUAAACCUCUUUCAGCAGGGAAGAAGCGAGAGUGACGGUACCUGCAGAAGAAGCGCCGGCUAACUACGUGCCAGCAGCCGCGGUAAUACGUAGGGCGCAAGCGUUGUCCGGAAUUAUUGGGCGUAAAGAGCUCGUAGGCGGUUUGUCGCGUCUGCUGUGAAAACCUAAGGCUCAACCUUGGGCUUGCAGUGGGUACGGGCAGACUAGAGUGCGGUAGGGGUGACUGGAAUUCCUGGUGUAGCGGUGGAAUGCGCAGAUAUCAGGAGGAACACCGAUGGCGAAGGCAGGUCACUGGGCCGCAACUGACGCUGAGGAGCGAAAGCAUGGGGAGCGAACAGGAUUAGAUACCCUGGUAGUCCAUGCCGUAAACGUUGGGCACUAGGUGUGGGGCUCAUUCCACGAGUUCCGUGCCGCA